rnacentral:rRNA from 1 species
UGCGUAGGCGGACUAAUAAGUCAGUGGUGAAAUCUCUCGGCUCAACCGGGAAUCUGCCAUUGAUACUGUUAGUCUUGAGUUCGGUUGAGGUAGGCGGAAUGUGUAAUGUAGCGGUGAAAUGCUUAGAUAUUACACAGAACACCAAUUGCGUAGGCAGCUUACUAGACCGACACUGACGCUGAGGCACGAAAGCGUGGGUAGCGAACAGGAUUAGAUACCCUGGUAGUC